AUUGAACGCUGGCGGCAGGCUUAACACAUGCAAGUCGAGCGAGCGGCGGACGGGUGAGUAAUGUCUGUGAAACUGCCUGAUGGAGGGGGAUAACUACUGGAAACGGUAGCUAAUACCGCAUACCAUCAGAUGUGCCCAGAUGGGAUUAGCUAGUAGGUGGGGUAAUGGCUCACCUAGGCCACGAUCCCUAGCUGGUCUGAGAGGAUGACUAGCCACACGGGAACUGAGACACGGUCCAGACGCCUACGGGAGGGAGCAGUGGGGAAUAUUGCACAAUGGGCGCAAGCCUGAUGCUGCCAUGCCGCGUGUGUGAAGAAGGCCUUCGGGGUGUAAAGCACUUUCAGCGAGGAGGCGUUACUCGCAGAAGAAGCACCGGCGAACUCCGUGCCAGAAGCGGCGGUAAUAC
rnacentral:rRNA from 1 species